rnacentral:misc_RNA from 1 species
UUUAUUUUCAGUCAUCUGUUAUUGUUUUAAAGGAGUUAAACUUGUUUCAAUCACAUUAUUCUUCUUUAGUAUUUCAGAAUUUUUAUUCGUUUCAAAUAUAAUCUUAUUUUUUAAUACGUAUCACAUUUGCACAUUUGGACGUGACAGUUCAGAAAAUAGAUUACUUCUCAAGUCAACGAAAAAUUCAAGUUUUUGAACAAGCUAAGUUGUAUAUUUUUUUGGUCCAUUAAAAUAGAGUUUUCGGUUAUUGGUUUGUGGUUCUGUUAUCAGUUGACUUCAUCCUAAUAUGAUUGAAAAGCUAGAACUGGGUAUCAAUUGUGAACGUCAAGUGUAGGAAGUUAGUGUCCAGUUGCAGAAGAGCUAAUCCCUAGAAUGAGAGGACGUUGAGCCAAAAAAUGUGCCAACUUUCAGUAUUUGGAUCCGAUGGUUUUAAGAAGUAACAUGAAAUAUGGAAAUGUCGGAGGUGAUUUCAAGAAACCGUUGAGAAGUAUCAGAGACCAAUAAAUCAAUAGCCAGCUUUGACUGCGGAAGGCAGAAGUGAUUGAUGAAAGUGCUCCAAAUCAAUAAACCAAUGAGGAUCCGUAUGAACCUGAAAGUCAAAGGCCUGAUGCUGCUUCAUUUCGAGUCCCAAAUUUUCAGGUGGUGUUUUCUGAUACGUGUGGACGUGUGUGGUCGUGGAGCAGGAUCGAACCUCUUCUGAUGACCAGUGCCGGCUGCUGCUGACGCAAUUUUUGGUAUAUUUCCUCACAAAAGGACCAUGCCGUGAUGGUUUGGCCCUGUUUCAGAAAGUUAUGGGAAGUGCCUGGAUGGCUCAUCGGUGUUCAACCGCUGUCCUGAACGUCUCCUGUCACGUCAUUAUAUGUGACGAUCCGAGCCAAAAAAGGAUAAUUUUGGUUGCGCAAAAGCAAAGAAGAACAUAUCUCGAAACGUGACAAUUUUUGUCGAUCGUUCAAAUUGUGGAGCAGCCAAUUUUCGAGCUUUUUGACCUUUCCAUUACGUUUCAAACCAUCAAAGACGGCAUGAAAGCUGAUGCUCAGUUCUUUCGCCAUCCCACGCAUCGUUUGUGAUGGGUCGGUCUCCU